CGGGAUUACAGGCAUCCACCACCACGUUCGGCUAAUUUUUGUAUUUUUAGUAGAGACGGGAUUUCACCAUGUUGGCCAGGCUGGUCUCGAACUACUGACCUCAGGUGAUCCGCCUGCCUGGGUCUCCCAAAGUGCUGGGAUUACAGGUGUGAGCCACUGCGCCCAGCUGUAAAAUGAUAAUAAGCAUACCUUAAAUAUAACUUCCUUUUAAGGCUAUUCAAGAAAUAAAUGUGCUAAGGGCCUGUAAAGGGCUGAGCACAGAGGCUGGCAUAGUCAGUGCUCAAUAAAUGGAAAGGAGAAGAUGGAGAUGAGGAGGAUGGAGGUCCAGAAAGUUGGAGAAGUGUUGGCCUGGUUUCCUCUAUCCUGGGACGUCAGGGCUCCCCUCAGCCUUGGCAGUUCCAGGAAUGGCCACGAGAUGGCGCCUGAAUCCCAGUUAUGAGGGACUCAGCGGCGCUUCUUAGCAGAGGAAGCUGUUUGCGGGGAAAAAGGGCCAGAGAAGCAGGGGUUCCCUGUACGUACCCCUUUCCCUCCAGCACUGGAGCCCGAGUCUCCCGCUGAGCAGGCACCUCUCCCUCCACGCCCAGGCUUCUUAAACCAACCCCUCCUCCCCUUGUCAUUCAUGAACCAGAUGCAGAAACUGAGGCUCAGAAGCGUUCGGCCACGUGCAUGCAUUGCCUUUCCCAUUGGUGCUCCAUCGCCAGUAAUGGAUAAGUAAUAAGUAAUAAGGUGAUUCUGACUCUCCUGGAACCUGAGAACCACCAGUCUACGGGAACAGAGCCCUGCUUUGGGUCAGGUGUGUAUAACUAUGGUAUUCCCUUUCUUCUCUGCCUCUAUUGUUGAUGUUGUUUUUUUGUUUUUUGUUUUUUUUUGAAACGGAGUCUCGCUGUUGCCCAGGCUGGAGUGCAGUGGCGCAAUCUCGGCUCACUACAAUCUCCGCCUCUGGGGUUCACGCCAUUCUCCUGCCUCAGCCUCCCGAGUAGCUGGUAAGGGAGGAGACCACCCCUCACAUUGUCUUAUGCCCAAUUUCUGCCUCCAAAGAAAGAAGUAAAAACUAAAAGGCAGAAAUGAAAUCCACAGGCAGACAGCCCGGCGCUGCACCCUGGGCCUGGUAGUUAAAGAUCGACCCCUGACCUAAUCAGUUAUGUUGUCUAUAGAUUACAGACAUUGUAUAGAAAUGCACUGUGAAAAUCCCUAUCUGUUUUGUUCCGAUCUAGUUACCAGUGCAUGCAGACCCCAGUCACGUACCCCUUGCUUGCUCAAUCAAUCCCGACCCCCUCACACGCACCCUCCUUAGAGUUGUGAGCCCUUAAAAGGGAUAGGAAUUGCUCACUCGGGGAGCUCGGCUCUCGAGACAGGAGUCUUGCCGAUGCCCCCAGCCGAUUAAACCCCUUCCUUCAACUCGGUGUCUGAGGAGUUUUGUCUGCAGCUCGUCCUGCUACACUGGGACUACAGGCGCUCGCCACCACGCCCGGCUAAUUUUUUAUAUUUUUUAGUAGAGGCAGGGUUUCACCGUGUUAGCCAGGAUGGUCUCGAUUGCCUGACCUCAUGAUCCGCCUGCCUUGGCCUCCCAAAGUGUUGGGAUUACAGGCGUGAGCCACCGCGCCCGGCCCCACUCUCUACCUCUGUUUGUUUAGGGGCAGGCAUAGAAUCCCAUUCUAGUCAAUGAGACAGAAAGGGGUUCUGGAAAGUUCCCCCACCCCCUUAUAAAACAAGGAGGACGUCUUCAAGGAGGACGUCUGAGGAGAAGCUUUGCCGUGGCCUUUUGCCUUUGGAUGCUGCCAGAGGGGUUAGAAGGCGGAGCUCCACAGUCAGGCAGCUGGGGUGUGUAUCCUAGCGGGGAGAGCAAGAGACAGUGGGACAAAAAUAAUAACAGUAAUAGCAGCAAUGCUUCUUGAGGACUUUCCGCAUGGCAGGCCCUAUUCUAAGCACCUCAUGUAGCAUAUUUUACCCUCAAACAGUCCUGAGGUAGGUUCUGUUAUUGCGAUUUUAUAAAUGAGGAAACUGAAGCACAGACAAGUUUAAAUAACUCGUUCAAAGUCAUACAGCUCAUACAUGGAGGCCAGCAUGCAGGCCAGGUGUGUGGGGUAUGGGCAUUGCGGGCUACUUUAGGGACCCUGACCUUUUCCUCAGCAUAGUGGGAAGCUGGUGAAAGGUUUUAAGCAGGGGUGGCCCCUCUGAUUUACCUUUUUUUUUUUUUUUUUUUUUUUGAGACAGUGUCUCACUCUGUUGCCCAGGCUGGAGCGCACUGGUGAGAUCUUGGCUCACUGCAGCCUCAAACUCCUGGGCUCAAGUGAUCCUCCCACCUCAGCCUCCUGAGAAGCUGGGACUACAGGCAAAUGCUACAGUGGCUGGCUACUUUUUGUAAAGACGGAGUUUCACCAUGUUACCCAGGCUGGUUUUGAACUCCUGAGCUCAAGCAAUCCGUCCACCUCUGCCUCCCAAAGUGCUGGGAUUACACGCAUGAGCCACCACAUCUGGCCUGAUUUACUUUUAAAAGUCACUGAAAUGCUUUGCUCCUAAAUUCUCUGCUGGGGACAAGCCAGCCACACUUGCACGGCCUGUUCUUCAGCCUCUUUUCCUCCCUGAGACAUCAGUCCCUUAGCAAACCCAGCGUCUUGGGUGACUGGGACCAGGGUGACUCAAUGGCAGAUGCUGAUGGGUGAGACAGCCACAAAGAUGAUCUUUGGAGAGUGAGUUAUAGGUGAUUUGUUUUAUUUAAUUUUUAAUUUUUUUAUUUUUUUUUGAGACAGAGUCUCACUCUGUCGCCCAGGCUGGAGUGCAGUGGCGUGAUCUCAGCUCACUGCAACCUCCUCCUCCCGGUUCAAGCUACUCUCCUGACUCAGCCUCCAGAGUAGCUGAGAUUCCAGGCAUGUGCCACCACACCCAGCUAAUCUUUGUAUUUUUAGUAUAGACAGGGUUUCACCAUAUUGGCCAGGCUGGUCUCCAACUCCUGACCUCAAGUGAUCCACCAACCUUGGCCUCCCAAAGUGUUGGGAUUACAGGAGUGAGCCACCACCUCUGGCCAGGUGAUUCGUUUUAAAUCUGAAUUUUUACAUUUUUUUAUAAUAAGUGACCAUAUAUCACUUGCUAUUUAAAAAAAAAUUUUUUUUGAGAUGGAGUUUCACCCUUGUUGCCCAGGCUGGAGUGCAAUGGCAUGAUCUUGGGCCACUGCAAUCUCCGCCUCCCGGGUUCGAGCGAUUCUCCUGCCUCAGCCUCCAAGUAGCUGGGACUACAGGCAUGUGCCACCACGCCCAGAUAAUUUUUGUAUUUUUAGUAGAGGCAGGGUUUCACCAUGUUGGCCAGGCUGGUCUCAAACUCCUGACCUCCGGUGAUUCUCCUGCCUUGGCCUCCCAAAGUGCUGGGAUUACAGGCAUGAGCCACCGUGCCCAGCCAAAAGUCAUUAUUUAUAAAAAGAAAGAUGAGGGGCCAGCACCCCACCCUCCCCAGGGUUGUUGACUCCUGCUGGUACUGGCUGUGGCUGAAGUCAUCAUCAUGGAGGCUAACCCUUGGAGGGUAGAUAGUGCAGUGGCAGCAUCCUAAGGGCUUUAUGUGACCUGUAUGAACUCAUUUAAUCCCCAC
rnacentral:lncRNA from 1 species